UAUCUCCCUCUAGAACUUACGGGAAUUAUCAUUCCCACUCCUUCUACACUUUCAUUUUUACACACAUACACUGCCAUGGAGUUACACACACACAACGAUGUUGUCAUCUCCUUCCGGCGACCGACUCCUUACUCCUCUCUCUCCCUAUUUCUCUCUCUCUCGUCGGCAAUUGAAGAAAUUUUCCAGAUUCUCCGUCGCCGUCUCCAGCUGCUUCAGUCGCUCCGACGCCGCUGCACAGAACCGUCGGCUUCUGCUCGCCGGGGUAACGACGCUGCCGUCGACGUCUGCUACAAGCUUCGUUCGCUGCUGUGCAGCCCCCUCCCCCGCCGGGAAGGUGCCGCUGUACCGCCGGGAAGACGCGACGCUGCUGCUGUCUCGCCGGGAAGACGCGACGCCGCUGUUGUCAGCAGCCUCCGUCGGUCAUUCUCUGCCACUCUGUUGCCCCGAUUUACCCCGAAACAGCCCCGACGCCUCUGAUACCAACCCGAUUCGUUAAAGGUAAGGUAACACAAGCAAGGAGGAACAAGAAUCUGGGAUUUCGAUGUCAAGGCUCGUUGGACUUGAGGUAGUAUAUUCUAUAUUAGGUCCUAAUUCUUGAAUUAAGUGCACGUAAUUGCAUUUUGAGUUUUUGCGUGCUAAAUUAUGAUACAAUACGUGAUUAUCAUAUAUUAUCUAUAGCUUGCAAAUAUGUGAGGGAGGCUGUGAAUGAUAAUAAUGAAUGCUUUGAAACUUACUACGUCUAUGUAAGGUGAUAUUGUGGGAAAACCAGUAAUUGACGUGAUAUGUUUUGGAAAUUGUUGGGCUGCUUGUUUGAAUAGGGAUAACAUAGAGUACUUAAAGAGGGCUUUGGAAGCUUGCUUUGCUAAUUUGAUUUAGUUUAGGGAUUAUGUAGCUGGGAGGCCCUUUGCUUAACCUUGUGCUAGUGUCAUUGUAUUCCACAGUUAAUUAUUUUCUUGAUCACAGUUCCUUUGUAUGCUUGUUAGUUUGACAUACAUACGAUAGACCAGAGGAAAUAGAAGGAAAAAAAAAAUACUCACUAGCUUUGGUUGAUCAUAUCUGUAACCAAACUCUGGUUUCAUUAGUUUUUUUUUUAAAUAGGCAAUCACAUUGAGUGAACAGUUACAUGGUUUCAAUUGCAAAACAUGUUGUCACAUUUGCUUUAUUUCUGGUUUACUUUAUCACAUUAUCAGGCUGUGUUGGAAACAGUAGCUAGAGUGAAGCCAAAGAAAGCAACGAGACAACUAUUGUGUCACGUUCUGGCAGCAUAUUUCGACUUCAGUUAACCAAGUAAACGACCUCAUUUUCUUACCAAAUUUUAGCUGAACAUAGUUUUGCGUGUCUUCUGCCUUGUGACCGAAAUUCAGCUUCAUCCGAGUUCAAAUAGAUUUAUAGUGAUUUUUCCAAUACAAUCUGCCCUGUUCAGGCUGGUUAGGGGGAAAACGAUUAUAAACUCUAAAUGACUAGGAAUUUCCAGCUCAAAAUUCAUCCCUACAAACUACACAUGUAUGAACUUAUUUUGCCUCUGAUUUUGUUGAGUUUCGACUUUCGAGUCGGUCUGAAUGAUUUUUCAUAGUUGGUCCAUUUUCUGUAAAAUCUUGGGAUAUGAUAACAGUUGAAAUGCUUAUGCUUUAACCUUAUUUUUUUGGACAAGUGUAUGAAGAUAUGAUUCCUAAUGUGAAAUCUUGAAGGAGAAAUAGUUGUUUUUGACUAAGCUAAUGUCUUGUAGGAUAAAUGCAUAAAUAAUAGACAAUAAUUAUGAAAUUAAGUUAGAAAAUAAUGGUUAAUAGUAUGAAUUUGAUACUUUAUAUGCGAAAGUGAAAUAUAUAUUGAAGGGUAAUCCUACCCCAGGAAAUAACAAGGACAAGGACAAGGAGCAGGAAUAAAGGGAUUCUUGUGUCAAGGGCGUUUUGGAUUUCAAGAUUAGAGGAUCAGACCUAGCUCUUUUGUUGUACAGCUGCUCAGCCAGGUCACUAGCCAGUCUUUUGAGUUCGAGUAAUUCUUGGAUAUGUUAGUUGUGGCAUGUAUAGAAAGUGUAAUGUAGUUUGGACGUUUCACUUACUUCGUUAUCCAGGUUGUAUAUAUAUAUAUAGACUUUUGGGAAACAGGUUUAUGGUCCAAUUUCAGACGUUAUAUAGCAGUUUUUCUGUUUGCUAAGUAAAUGAAAAAUUAAUUAAUCUAUAAACAAAAAAAAGAAUCAAGGAUUUUCUGUUAAGUCGGGAUUUGUACCGAAAGGUGACAUCACUUAUUCGAUUAUUAAAUUAAUUGGGUUAGGGGUGUUACAUGUUUUGGUAUCAGAGCCUAAGUUUAGGCGGUCCUAGGCUUGAGACGUGUUUAGAUGUGUCUAGAAACAUGCCACAUAGGAUAUUGAUUUGAGUCAUUGCUAGUGACCUGAUGUGUAUAUGUUUUCCUGAUGUGUACAUGUUUUUCUGGCUUCAAGACUUGACAGUUUUUAGUUUCUGAGUGAUACGGAAAACCUUUUUGUAUAAGGUUCGAAAUGGUGAAUUGAGGUUGAGUAGACCGAUGAUCCUAUAGUCAUUUGGCCGGCUAUUGAAAUAAAAAAAAGCUUGCAUCUGUUGCACUUUAAAUUGACUCUUCAACUUAUAUUAUAUACGAUGCCAGUCGUCGUCGUGUUCUUGCUUGCUGUCUUCCUCAAGUUUGGCUUGCCCUCGCUUUCUGAGUAGAACUUUCUCAACAACAUCACGAAAAAGUCCACUUUGGUUGCCCACUGAUCUGAUCAUCCAUCAAAACUAGGCUUUAAAGCUCCUUUAACUGAUACGGUGUAGUAAUAUGAAUAUGCCAAAUGAGAGUUAUCCUUUGUGAUCUCUUCCUUUGAGAAUUGUUGUUUGGGACCCUCCAAUGUGUUUGCCUUUUUGUCGACCCUAUAAGAUAAUUGAAGGAAGUGAUUUUUCCCUGUUAGUACUGUUACCUUGGAGAAAUUAUCUUCUUUGAUUAAUUCCUAAUCCGGGUCAUCUAAACAUUAAGUGUUUACUUAUCUACCACCACUGAGUCAAUAUUUUCUAUACAGAGUCUAGAGCUACUUGUAGUUUAUGUGAAACCUGAUUCUGACCCUUGAAACUUGGAAUACUUUUGGUUGAACCUUCUGUCCUUCGUGAUUUAUUGUCUCAAAUGACAAUAUUUCCGUAUUUGUGACACUUUGUCAAUAAAUUUUUGUCUGAAGUUGUUCGAGCUUAUGUCUUUUAUAAAUCUAUUCGAUAGUUGUUUUUAAGAGACAACACAUCAACCAUAAUAUCUUUGGUUGACCCCUUCGAUAUAAAUUAUUGGCGUUCUUUCCUGCCGAAAUUACACUGAUUCCUUUGCCUAACCCUAUUGUUUAAAUUGUCUUCUAUCUCGAGACCUUUCCUCAACUUGAGAUUUGAGUUGAUGUUUUACCUUUGUCUCCAAUAAAUCUGCUUCAAUCGUCAUCUCUAUGAGUUGUUUUUCUUUGAACUAUCAUCGAAACAUAUGGACCCAGCCAAUGAUAUGAUUUGUAUGUUCCUAUUGUUUCUUAACCAUGAUAUUUGUUAACUUAAGACCAAAUGUGGCUCAGAGAAUAUGCUAACCAGUCAUUGUUCUAUAGAAAUUUUUACCACCUCAAUCAUGCUUUUCUGACCUUUAGAUUAUUGACAAUUCGCUUAUGUCCUACAUAUGCUUAAAUUGUUCUGAAAUGUAAUAAAUAUCAUAUAUGGAGCAAAGUUUCCAUGUGACUGAGAAAGUAGUUAAGUGGAACUGGCCACUCCAUGUAACUCGAAUCUCAGUAGCGUCCUUCUUUGACAAACCGAGGGGUUUUAACUUUGAAGUCAUUUCAUUCUUACCAUCGGUUACCUUUUCCAAGUUUGUUCGGUAAUUAUUUGAUGAAAUCUUUUGAUCAGUCACUCUACUACAAUGUAUUAAAGGGAUCAUCUAUUUUCUCAUCAUUGCUGUUUCCUAUUAAUUUUCCAUUCCAUGGAAUUUGUGAAUCAACUCUUCCAAUUGGUAUCUUCAUGUCUUGAUCCGAAAUAUCUUUUUGUGAAAUCAUAUUCGUUGAACAUCUGAGAUGGUCAAUCUCUGAAUUUUCUUUUGAAGAUCAAGUUUAACCACUUAUUAUUCACUUGAUGCAUCCAAUAAGUUAAUGAUCCAUUUUUGCAUCAAUAAUUUCCUAAAUCAUGUGAACCGUAUUAAUCAAUCUCUGUGUCAAUCUAUGUCUCCUGUCAUCUAAUAUUUCUCGUACAUCUGCACUAGAAAGUCAUGCCUUAAUGGAUUUCUUUGUAUCUGAGUUUGGAUCACCUUGUCCAGGAUCUUCUGUUUUGGCUUACUAGGAGGCAAUAUGUGUUUCCAUACCUAUUUCUUCCAUAAUGUGUAACCUUCUAUAAUUCGAUAUUGUUCUGUACCCUUGCCUAUUGGAGUUGGUGAUAUUUUUGACCAUCUGAUGUUAGUUUCUGCUACCAGAACUUCUAUCAAAUCAAAGAUAAACUAGUCUGUUCUUCCUGGAUUUACCAUUUUGAAAGUCUUUGUCCCAUGUUUCUUAACGCUUAUAUGUCUUUGCUUGAACCUUGUAUGUCUGACGGUUUUGAAUUUCGUUAACUAAUAUUUAUAUGUGCUAUUAAAAUAACUUCACAGUUAUUUAUUAAUGUGCGAAUCUGUAACUUCAUGCUAGAUUAGUUCAGAAUUUAAAACUCCCAUAAGAUUGUUUGUUAGAAAUAUUAUAUAUACAAUUUGCCUGGGUUUAAGACUGCAAUCUUCCUUUUAUGUUGCAAUCUUUGGCUGUCAGAACUGUGUUUGUAAAGUUAAGAUUAACUAUAGGAGUACUUUGACACAUUGAUGUGCUGAGGUAAACGAUGUGCCCUUGAUCUGUUAUUUUAUUUAAAUGGCAGUAUUUGAUUAUGACUUCUUUUGGGGACGAGUGAGAUUAGGAGAUUACCUUAAAGGAGUGGCACAGAAGUGCCUAACCCGACAUAUUGAUUUAGAUGAAAUUUCGAGGACGAAAUUUUUUUUAGGAGGGAAGAGUUGUAAUGAUCCGAAAUUCUGUAACUCAGAAAUUAGUUAAAAUUUGUUAGGUUUUUUAAUACAAUAUUUAAGUUGUAAGGUGUCGGAUUAGUAGGGAAAUAAAUAAGUAUAAAUGUAUUUUGAAAAAGAUAUAAAAAAAUGAAUAAAAAAAAGAGAAGAAGAAAAAAGAAAAGGAAAUUAGAAAGGGAGGAGAAAUAUCUCCCUCUAGAACUUACGGGAAUUAUCAUUCCCACUCCUUCUACACUUUCAUUUUUACACACAUACACUGCCAUGGAGUUACACACACACAACGAUGUUGUCAUCUCCUUCCGGCGACCGACUCCUUACUCCUCUCUCUCCCUAUUUCUCUCUCUCUCGUCGGCAAUUGAAGAAAUUUUCCAGAUUCUCCGUCGCCGUCUCCAGCUGCUUCAGUCGCUCCGACGCCGCUGCACAGAACCGUCGGCUUCUGCUCGCCGGGAUAACGACGCUGCCGUCGACGUCUGCUACAAGCUUCGUUCGCUGCUGUGCAGCCCCCCCCGCCGGGAAGGUGCCGCUGUACCGCCGGGAAGACGCGACGCUGCUGCUGUCUCGCCGGGAAGACGCGACGCCGCUGUUGUCAGCAGCCUCCGUCGGUCAUUCUCUGCCACUCUGUUGCCCCGAUUUACCCCGAAACAGCCCCGACGCCUCUGAUACCAACCCGAUUCGUUAAAGGUAAGGUAACACAAGCAAGGAGGAACAAGAAUCUGGGAUUUCGAUGUCAAGGCUCGUUGGACUUGAGGUAGUAUAUUCUAUAUUAGGUCCUAAUUCUUGAAUUAAGUGCACGUAAUUGCAUUUUGAGUUUUUGCGUGCUAAAUUAUGAUACAAUACGUGAUUAUCAUAUAUUAUCUAUAGCUUGCAAAUAUGUGAGGGAGGCUGUGAAUGAUAAUAAUGAAUGCUUUGAAACUUACUACGUCUAUGUAAGGUGAUAUUGUGGGAAAACCAGUAAUUGACGUGAUAUGUUUUGGAAAUUGUUGGGCUGCUUGUUUGAAUGUAGGGAUAACAUAGAGUACUUAAAGAGGGCUUUGGAAGCUUGCUUUGCUAAUUUGAUUUAGUUUAGGGAUUAUGUAGCUGGGAGGCCCUUUGCUUAACCUUGUGCUAGUGUCAUUGUAUUCCACAGUUAAUUAUUUUCUUGAUCACAGUUCCUUUGUAUGCUUGUUAGUUUGACAUACAUACGAUAGACCAGAGGAAAUAGAAGGAAAAAAAAAAUACUCACUAGCUUUGGUUGAUCAUAUCUGUAACCAAACUCUGGUUUCAUUAGUUUUUUUUUAAAUAGGCAAUCACAUUGAGUGAACAGUUACAUGGUUUCAAUUGCAAAACAUGUUGUCACAUUUGCUUUAUUUCUGGUUUACUUUAUCACAUUAUCAGGCUGUGUUGGAAACAGUAGCUAGAGUGAAGCCAAAGAAAGCAACGAGACAACUAUUGUGUCACGUUCUGGCAGCAUAUUUCGACUUCAGUUAACCAAGUAAACGACCUCAUUUUCUUACCAAAUUUUAGCUGAACAUAGUUUUGCGUGUCUUCUGCCUUGUGACCGAAAUUCAGCUUCAUCCGAGUUCAAAUAGAUUUAUAGUGAUUUUUCCAAUACAAUCUGCCCUGUUCAGGCUGGUUAGGGGGAAAACGAUUAUAAACUCUAAAUGACUAGGAAUUUCCAGCUCAAAAUUCAUCCCUACAAACUACACAUGUAUGAACUUAUUUUGCCUCUGAUUUUGUUGAGUUUCGACUUUCGAGUCGGUCUGAAUGAUUUUUCAUAGUUGGUCCAUUUUCUGUAAAAUCUUGGGAUAUGAUAACAGUUGAAAUGCUUAUGCCUUAACCUUAUUUUUUUGGACAAGUGUAUGAAGAUAUGAUUCCUAAUGUGAAAUCUUGAAGGAGAAAUAGUUGUUUUUGACUAAGCUAAUGUCUUGUAGGAUAAAUGCAUAAAUAAUAGACAAUAAUUAUGAAAUUAAGUUAGAAAAUAAUGGUUAAUAGUAUGAAUUUGAUACUUUAUAUGCGAAAGUGAAAUAUAUAUUGAAGGGUAAUCCUACCCCAGGAAAUAACAAGGACAAGGAGCAGGAAUAAAGGGAUUCUUGUGUCAAGGGCGUUUUGGAUUUCAAGAUUAGAGGAUCAGACCUAGCUCUUUUGUUGUACAGCUGCUCAGCCAGGUCACUAGCCAGUCUUUUGAGUUCGAGUAAUUCUUGGAUAUGUUAGUUGUGGCAUGUAUAGAAAGUGUAAUGUAGUUUGGACGUUUCACUUACUUCGUUAUCCAGGUUGUAUAUAUAUAUAUAGACUUUUGGGAAACAGGUUUAUGGUCCAAUUUCAGACGUUAUAUAGCA